rnacentral:rRNA from 1 species
GAUGAACGCUGGCGGCGUGCCUAAUACAUGCAAGUCGAGCGAACGGACGAGAAGCUUGCUUCUCUGAUGUUAGCGGCGGACGGGUGAGUAACACGUGGAUAACCUACCUAUAAGACUGGGAUAACUUCGGGAAACCGUAGCUAAUACCGGAUAAUAUUUUGAACCGCAUGGUUCAAAAGUGAAAGACGGUCUUGCUGUCACUUAUAGAUGGAUCCGCGCUGCAUUAGCUAGUUGGUAAGGUAACGGCUUACCAAGGCAACGAUGCAUAGCCGACCUGAGAGGGUGAUCGGCCACACUGGAACUGAGACACGGUCCAGACUCCUACGGGAGGCAGCAGUAGGGAAUCUUCCGCAAUGGGCGAAAGCCUGACGGAGCAACGCCGCGUGAGCGAUGAAGGUCUUCGGAUCGUAAAACUCUGUUAUUAGGGAAGAACAUAUGUGUAAGUAACUGUGCACAUCUUGACGGUACCUAAUCAGAAAGCCACGGCUAACUACGUGCCAGCAGCCGCGGUAAUACGUAGGUGGCAAGCGUUAUCCGGAAUUAUUGGGCGUAAAGCGCGCGUAGGCGGUUUUUUAAGUCUGAUGUGAAAGCCCACGGCUCAACCGUGGAGGGUCAUUGGAAACUGGAAAACUUGAGUGCAGAAGAGGAAAGUGGAAUUCCAUGUGUAGCGGUGAAAUGCGCAGAGAUAUGGAGGAACACCAGUGGCGAAGGCGACUUUCUGGUCUGUAACUGACGCUGAUGUGCGAAAGCGUGGGGAUCAAACAGGAUUAGAUACCCUGGUAGUCCACGCCGUAAACGAUGAGUGCUAAGUGUUAGGGGGUUUCCGCCCCUUAGUGCUGCAGCUAACGCAUUAAGCACUCCGCCUGGGGAGUACGACCGCAAGGUUGAAACUCAAAGGAAUUGACGGGGACCCGCACAAGCGGUGGAGCAUGUGGUUUAAUUCGAAGCAACGCGAAGAACCUUACCAAAUCUUGACAUCCUUUGACAACUCUAGAGAUAGAGCCUUCCCCUUCGGGGGACAAAGUGACAGGUGGUGCAUGGUUGUCGUCAGCUCGUGUCGUGAGAUGUUGGGUUAAGUCCCGCAACGAGCGCAACCCUUAAGCUUAGUUGCCAUCAUUAAGUUGGGCACUCUAAGUUGACUGCCGGUGACAAACCGGAGGAAGGUGGGGAUGACGUCAAAUCAUCAUGCCCCUUAUGAUUUGGGCUACACACGUGCUACAAUGGACAAUACAAAGGGCAGCGAAACCGCGAGGUCAAGCAAAUCCCAUAAAGUUGUUCUCAGUUCGGAUUGUAGUCUGCAACUCGACUACAUGAAGCUGGAAUCGCUAGUAAUCGUAGAUCAGCAUGCUACGGUGAAUACGUUCCCGGGUCU